rnacentral:tmRNA from 1 species
GGGGACGAAAUUGGUUUCGACUGUUGUUGUCAGGGAUUAUGUGGCGUGUAGAGGUUGUAGGCUCCUCUCAAAACCUUCAAACAAUAACCGCUAAUAACGAAUUAGCCCUAGCAGCUUAAUCUCUGCUACGGAACCUUGGUUCUUUCUCCUGAGGGCCAAACGUUCUGACACUUUUCGGGAGGCGUCUCUUUUGGUUUUCGGUUCCUGAGAGAGAUCGUAUUCGAGCUGAAUAGGAAAGAGAGUCCUGUCUGUGGGUUAAACUCGAUCCGACAACUUAUACAUAGACUACACACGUAGAGGCUAAUCUGGGGCGCAAUAGGACGCGGGUUCGAACCCCGCCGUCUCCAUCG